UUUUGUGCUUUUUUUCUUUUUGGUUCGAUUUAUUUUCCUUUCUUUCUUUCCUUUAAGUAUUAGUCUUUCGUUUCUUUUUUAAAUCAAUCUAAAUUCUAGUUUCGAUAAGUUUUUUAUUGAUAUUUCUUUCUUAUUUGUUAAAGGGAGAAUGAUGAGGAGUACUCACAGUUAGGGUGGUGAUAUGGAGAUUUUGGGAGUUCAAAAUGGG
rnacentral:lncRNA from 1 species